rnacentral:rRNA from 1 species
UAACCUGCCCAAGAGAUCGGGAUAACACCUGGAAACAGAUGCUAAUACCGGAUAACAACAGAUGAUGCCUAUCAACUGUUUAAAAGAUGGUUCUGCUAUCACUCUUGGAUGGACCUGCGGUGCAUUAGCUAGUUGGUAGGGUAACGGCCUACCAAGGCGAUGAUGCAUAGCCGAGUUGAGAGACUGAUCGGCCACAUUGGGACUGAUACACGGCCCAAACUCCUACGGGAGGCAGCAGGC